rnacentral:rRNA from 1 species
AACGAACGCUGGCGGCAGGCUUAACACAUGCAAGUCGAACGGUUGUAGCAAUACAGCAGUGGCGCACGGGUGAGUAACGCGUGGAUAUCUGCCUUUUGGUUCGGAAUAACUCCGGGAAACUGGAGCUAAUACCGGAUGGUUCCUACGGGAUAAAGAUUUAUCGCCAAAAGAUGAGUCCGCGUACGAUUAGCUAGUUGGUGAGGUAAUGGCUCACCAAGGCGACGAUCGUUAGCUGGUCCGAGAGGACGAUCAGCCACACUGGGACUGAGACACGGCCCAGACUCCUACGGGAGGCAGCAGUGGGGAAUAUUGGACAAUGGGGGCAACCCUGAUCCAGCCAUGCCGCGUGAGUGAUGAAGGCCUUCGGGUUGUAAAGCUCUUUGGCGGGGACGAUGAUGACGGUACCCGCAGAAUAAGCCCCGGCUAACUUCGUGCCAGCAGCCGCGGUAAU